GGCUGGUCUGCUAGUGGCUCUCGCAGUCGUUAGUUGUACCUAGUCAUCCGUACGGGAAUCUUAUUCGGCCUUCGCUGGUCGGUAAGUGGAUCGUACACUUUACUUUGAAAAAAUUAGAGUGUUUCAGGCAGGCAAUUGCUUGGAUACUGCAGCAUGGAAUAAUGGAAUAGGGCUGCUGCCCCAUUUUGUUGGUUUCUGGGACCGUAGCA
rnacentral:rRNA from 1 species